CACUGAUCCCACCCUUCCCUCCCUGACCCCCAAUGUAGGCCAUUCCAAGUUCUAGGGCUUUUAACUUCAUAAAAGGACAGGUAACCAUGGAAGUGAUCAGACAAAACUCCAUUUAAAAUAGAAUUUAUACAAGGAAAGUAAGUAUCUUUUUCUCGAUAGCGGAUAAAUAAAAAAUGUAGUUACCUGGAAAUCAUGAGAGGGAUAUUACUUUAGGAGUGAAUUACAAUAAUAAAAACGUGGUUUAGGUUUUAGUAAAUAGAUUAUCUUAAGAUUUUGUGGGUUUUUUGUUUUUUUUUUUAAUAAGGCUAGCCUGGUAAAGAUUGCUACUUAUAUUUGCUAAAUAUUAUACAAUCUAAAAAGCUAACCUAAAAAUAAAAAAGAAUUUAUUCGGCAGACUUUAAAGAAUGAAAUUAAUUCUUUAUCCUUAAAAUAUAUUCUUAAAUAAAUCCCACUAAGCAGACAGAACUUUCAGUUCUCAAUAAAGAAAACACUUCUAUUAUAACAACUUUAUAUCAGCUUUACGGACUGCUGGAAAUGAACAAUUUUCUCCUUUCCUCACAGAUAAAAUGGUAGGUAAGAUGAAUCGUCUGCCUCAUGCAUAAGAUACAAAUAUUAGCAAAAUUAAUUUGGCUAAGUACUUUGAGCUGCCUCAAAGGAAAACACUUUAUUAAGUAUCAUCCAUCCACAGCAAUUUCUGGUACAUUUGCCACCGUCACCUUUUUCUUUCUUCUCCCUCCCUACCUCAAUUUCUCAGUUCCUGACAGCAGCAAUUCAAAGGUUUGAUCCACAAGUGGCAACCAAAACUGCCCAUUCUUUAUAGAAAAACCACUAUAACAGAAGUCAAUGCAUGACUGGAAUCAAUAUUCAGCGCCCUAGCCGAUUGAAGAAGAACAAUGCUUUGACAAAUGACAGACAAUCUAACCAUAAUUUGUACCUGACCAUAAAAUGUGUCUUGUACUUGUACAGGAACAUGGAAAUGUUGGACAUGCUGCAAAUUCACCGAUCUUUAAAAUAAAAGCACUUCAAAAUAUCACCUAAUCAACAAGAGGUGGAAAAUUACUGGGCUUCCUUAUCCCCAUUAACACAGGCUUAAUGCAAAAAAGGCCAGAGAGAACAAUGCUAUCUUCUUGUAAACUGCUUUGUCACCCCACACACAUCGGUGUACGUGGAACGUACCACACACACUAGUACCAGUCAUGGGCAGUAUUAGUACCAGUGAUGGGCAAUAAGAAUACAAGAAUGAAUAAGAUUAUUGUUAGCUCCCUAUCACAGAGAAUGACCAAGUAUGAUCUAAGUAGAAUACUACAGAAGCAUACAACGAGGCACUAACCUAUUUGGAGCAUACUCAAGUUCACACCUUACCUGAUUCAGUUUAAGAGAUUGGCCCCUGGUCUUAAAGCUGCAUUAGGAAGUAAAUACACUUUGAUUAUUUUAAUUUAAUUUUAAUUUUAUUCAGCCAUUUUAAUUUAAUUCAUCACUAUGCACAUACCAAUCGUUUAUGCUAAUAAAUAGGAAGGUAUUUUAAAGUGUGUGUAUGACCCUGGUUUACCUGGGGAACAACUCCAAGAUAUUUCUCUCCAUAAUGGCAUCCCAACAAGUCAUUCUUCCUAAAUCAUCAUUUCUUUAUAGUUUAUCUUUACUUGAAUUCAAUUUCACAAACAGAGUGUUUUCAGUCAGGCUGGUCUAGGUUAUGUUGCAGUAACGAAGUGCUCCAGAAUCUCAUAGGCUUAUUAGCAAAAUUAAGUUCAUUUCUCACUCACACGAGUUGAGAAAGUGACAGCAGGGGAAUUUCCUUACUCACAGGUCAGGCUGAAGACAGCUCUAUGUUAAAAUGUGAUACCCACAUAACCAAGGUGGAGAAAAACAAAACAUAGUAAACUAUACCUUGGUUCUUAACACUUCUGCUCAGAAAUUAUAUAUUUUGCUCCCACUCACAUUUGGUUGGGUGGGAAAAGAAGGAAGUAAACAUAUUCAGUGGACAGAGGACCAUUUACUUCCAGAACUGGAGAUUUGUUGGACUACACCAGACUAAAAAGAUCAGCAUUUGCAACUUUGCUCAUAUUUCCUGUCUCGAUAUUGCAGAAAUAUGGAAAACUAUGAGAAUUAUACCAAGGCCAACAACAUGAAGAAACAGCUCAAAGAAUAUCUAUGUGUCCUCUGAUCUCAGACAAGCAGAGGGAAAGCACAAGCGAAAAAAUGUUUAACUGGAAGCAAUUAAUGAGCCUUCCUUCAUGGGAAGGUUUCAGGCAACAAGCUAUUAAAAUAACCUACUUCCUUAAAUUCUAGAAAUAUACUUCCAAAUGGUAGGGGCAAACAAUGGUAUCUCAAAAAUAAGCAAGCAUAUUUUAGAUAAUUAUUUUCUAAUUAAAGAAGGUCCACCUUACUUUUACUCUUAAAUCUUAAAAUUGACCUAUAUAAUAUAUUCACUUUUCAUUAUGGAGUAGCUUACUCUUUCAUUUUGAAUUUUAAAAAUAAGUCCUAAACAAAUUGUUAUAAUGCACUUCAAGCAGAAACCCUUAAACCCAAAACUGAUUUCCUGCAUUUCUGCAAUGUAAUUAAAAAUAUAAUCCUAUUUCCCUAUAAACUGCUUUUAACCUAAGAAUAAUUGUCUAAUAGAAAUCUUACCUUAUCAUUCCAAUGCUGGUGAGACACCAAAUACUUUUCUAUUUUAAUUGACAAAUUGGACUUCACCAAAACUAAAAACCUUCAGAGACACCAUUAAGAAAAUGAAAGGUAAGGCACAGAUUAGGAGAAAGCACUCACAAUAAUGCUUAUGAUAAUCACACAUCUUAGGACCCAUAACCACAACCCACAAAGAAUUCUUACAACUCAAUAAUAACCAUACAAAAAAAAAAAAAGAUCUGAACUGAGAUCUCACAAAAUAAUAUACACAAAUGACCAAU